rnacentral:rRNA from 1 species
AUUGAACGCUGGCGGCAGGCCUAACACAUGCAAGUCGAACGGUAACAGGAAGAAGCUUGCUUCUUUGCUGACGAGUGGCGGACGGGUGAGGAAUGUCUGGGAAACUGCCUGAUGGAGGGGGAUAACUACUGGAAACGGUAGCUAAUACCGCAUAACGUCGCAAGACCAAAGAGGGGGACCUUCGGGCCUCUUGCCAUCGGAUGUGCCCAGAUGGGAUUAGCUAGUAGGUGGGGUAACGGCUCACCUAGGCGACGAUCCCUAGCUGGUCUGAGAGGAUGACCAGCCACACUGGAACUGAGACACGGUCCAGACUCCUACGGGAGGCAGCAGUGGGGAAUAUUGCACAAUGGGCGCAAGCCUGAUGCAGCCAUGCCGCGUGUAUGAAGAAGGCCUUCGGGUUGUAAAGUACUUUCAGCGGGGAGGAAGGGAGUAAAGUUAAUACCUUUGCUCAUUGACGUUACCCGCAGAAGAAGCACCGGCUAACUCCGUG